UUUUUCUUAUACAACUACAUAUAUUUUUGCCUUUCUUUUUAGCAUCAAAGUAGAAAACUAGACUUUUAAACAAAAAAAAUGAAAUGAUAAAUUUCGAAUUAUAUAAUAGUUAUUUGACAAAAGAACAAAAACAAAUAUUUUGAAAAACCUAUUUCAAAAUUCACUAUAAGCCUUAGAAGAUUGUUGGAUUAGGAAUAAACAAGGUCCACAUAUAUCCAAUCUGAAACCACAACAAUGAAGUUAUUUGGAGUCCUCCUCCUUCAGUAGGUUUCCAGUUUCUCUGAAAUCAAAAUGCAAGAAUAAGAUACAUGAUUAUACCGUAUUAAGAAUAUAAGUAUCGAAUAUUAAAUCUGACUUGAACAUCGAAAUACUUUUCACAGAAAUCAUCGGAGUCUGAACUUUACGAAAACUGAGAGGUAAAGCACUGAGAAAAAAGGAAAAUACCCGUUUUAAGAGGAAGGAAAAAACAGCAAACUGGUAGACUGAAGAGUAGUUUCAAUAGUUCUCUUAGUUCCAAUCUCAUUCUAGAACCUGAAAUUAAUAUUGUUUCAGUCCAUAUUUCUUUCAUAUUGGAUACAUAUUUGUGUUGUCUGUUAAAGCUGUGCAUGGAGCAAAUUGAAGAAGUUGCAAAGCUUUUUCUUGGUCCUCCUCGUCUUCAUCCAUGAACUGAUUUGCAAGAAGGCUCGUUUGUAUUCGUUAGGGACAGAAUCUAUCUUGGCAGAGGAAGCUUGGUUGGCUAUGACGUUUUGUCGUUUUCCAUUGCUCUGCUGUAACGCUCAAACCACUAUGCAUGCAUGCAUAGCCUUGUGGGGCCCUCUCCUUUUAGCCUUAUUUUCUGUCUGUUACCCUAACACCUUUAAAG
rnacentral:lncRNA from 1 species